AAACCAGCACCUCAAGUGGUCAGGAUGAUUAUUGGGCCUAAAGCAUCCGCAGCCUGCUGUAUAAGUUUUCGGUUAAAUCCAUACGCUCAACGUAUGGGCUGCCGGGAAUACUGUACAGCUAGGGAGUGGGAGAGGUAGACGGUACUCGGUAGGAAGGGGUAAAAUCCUUUGAUCUAUUGAUGACCACCUGUGGCGAAGGCGGUCUACCAGAACACGUUCGACGGUGAGGGAUGAAAGCUGGGGGAGCAAACCGGAUUAGAUACCCCAGUAGUCC
rnacentral:rRNA from 1 species